GAGUUUGAUCGUGGCUCAGAUUGAACGCUGGCGGCAUGCCUUACACAUGCAAGUCGAACGGUAACAGGUCUUCGGAUGCUGACGAGUGGCGAACGGGUGAGUAAUACAUCGGAACGUGCCCGAUCGUGGGGGGAUAACGAAGCGAAAGCUUUGCUAAUACCGCAUACGAUCUACGGAUGAAAGCAGGGGACCGCAAGGCCUUGCGCGAACGGAGCGGCCGAUGGCAGAUUAGGUAGUUGGUGGGAUAAAAGCUUACCAAGCCGACGAUCUGUAGCUGGUCUGAGAGGACGACCAGCCACACUGGGACUGAGACACGGCCCAGACUCCUACGGGAGGCAGCAGUGGGGAAUUUUGGACAAUGGGCGAAAGCCUGAUCCAGCCAUGCCGCGUGCAGG
rnacentral:rRNA from 1 species